AUUGGCUCCGGGCUUUAUUUGCGCAGGAUAGGUGGGAGGCGUUGAUGACUUUCUUGCGGGAAAGUUUGAGCCACUGGUGAGAUACCACUCUAAUAAAGCUAGGAUUCUAACCCUAUACCGUUAUCCGGUUAGGGAACAGUUUCAGGUGGUCAGUUUGACUGGGGCGGUCGCCUCCUAAAAGGUAACGGAGGCGCGCAAAGGUUUCCUCAGACUGGUCGGAAAUCAGUCGUAGAGUGUAAAGGCAUAAGGAAGCUUGAUUGUAAGACUUACAAGUCGAACAAAGACGAAAGUCGGCCUUAGUGAUCCGGCGGUACCAAGUGGAAGGGCC
rnacentral:rRNA from 1 species